rnacentral:rRNA from 1 species
UGGGGAAUAUUGCACAAUGGGGGAAACCCUGAUGCAGCGACGCCGCGUGAAGGAAGAAGUAUUUCGGUAUGUAAACUUCUAUCAGCAGGGAAGAAACUGACGGUACCUGACUAAGAAGCACCGGCUAAAUACGUGCCAGCAGCCGCGGUAAUACGUAUGGUGCAAGCGUUAUCCGGAUUUACUGGGUGUAAAGGGAGCGUAGACGGAGAGGCAAGUCUGGAGUGAAAACCCAGGGCUCAACCCUGGGACUGCUUUGGAAACUGCAAUUCUGGAGUGCCGGAGAGGUAAGCGGAAUUCCUAGUGUAGCGGUGAAAUGCGUAGAUAUUAGGAGGAACACCAGUGGCGAAGGCGGCUUACUGGACGGUGACUGACGUUGAGGCUCGAAAGCGUGGGGAGCAAACAG